AAAAAAAAAAAAAAAAAAGAAUUGCAAUGCACAUGAACUGUGCCUAAUGGUGCAGGCUUUACCCUAGCUGCUUAGGAGACUAAGGCAGGAGGGUUACAAGCUUAGGUCUUCUUGGGCUACGGAGUGAGCUUACAGACGAAGUGGGUACUUAAAAGACCCUGUCCCCAAAUAAAAGAUGUCGAAGGCUUUGCACACAGCUCAGCAGUGUGCCUGCCGACCUGUGUGCAAGCUUCUAGGUGAGCCUGGGUUCAACAGAGUCCACUCAUGAAAAACAAAGGCACCCAUUUUUUAUCUUGCCUAAAUUUCAUCAUUAGUCUCUUACAUACUUCUAUAUGUUAAUGUAUUGUAUUUAUAUAUUCACUCACUCACAAGCGACUUUACAAUAUUUUGUGACUGUUCCUUUGGUGCAGCUAUUCAUGUUAUCUUUCUAAUCACAAAACAAAAUCUAUUCCACCCUGACCUACUGGAGGUCACUGGAGGUCACUGGAGGUCACUGGAGGGUUGAAUCUAUGCCAGUUUUGAUUCCAGUCUCUGGCAGUAAGCGGUGCUCUCACAGAAAAAUACUGGCAGAACACCUACCAAGGCAAACUGGGCAGGCCUUCUCAAGAACUACCUCCCACCUGUGCGUGAGGUUAGAAUUGUCACCUGAUUGGAAAUCACAGCCCUGGAUGUGAAGGAACUGCUCUAGCAACUCUAGAGCCCAGCAACUCCCAGGCCAAAACCAGGGCUGUGCUCUAGGUCAAUGAUGCUACUAGAAAUAUGUCCACUGUGGUUUGAUUUGGCCUUGCUCCAGGUUUGAAAUUUUUCUUUGUAAUAUGCACAUGUUUUUGUAUCAACAACUACUGUUUCAGCCUUUUAGAACAUCCCUACCCAGUUUCCAUCCCAUCUCCACUUGGCUUCUUUAGUGUCUGGUAAACAACAUCUGCCUACAGAGAAACUGCUGAACAAAUUUAGGGAGGAAUUUUGAAGCAAAGUGUGGGGCUACCAUGCUGAGUCUUCACACACACAUCAUGGUUGAGGUUUUUAUUUAUUACUUUCUUCUUCUAGGUUAUUUGUUUCUUUUAUGUAGCCCUAUGUAGCCCAGGCUACCCUCAAACUCAAAAUCCUCCUGUUCUGGCUACAAGUGCUGGGAUUAUCAGGAGUUCUCUACCAUGCUCAGUGGUCUUGCAUAUUUUAAAGUAUAUUAUUGAAUACUUGUGAGUUUUUGCUGCUACUAGGAUAGUCUUUUGCUGUGUCCAAAAUGAAUUGUUUUUCCUCUAUUUUCUUGUUUUUAAUUUUUAUUGUAUUUUGUGUAUGUAGCUGUUUGUCUACAUGUAUGUUCCUACAUCAUGUCUUUACAAUACCCCAAGAAGCCAGAAGAAGGCAUUGAAUGGCUUAUAGCUGUGAGCUACAUGUGUGUUCCUGGGAUUGAACCCAGGUCCUCUGGAAGAGCAGACAGUGCUUUUAAUUCUGGACCAUCUCUAUCAGAGCCUUUUUCUAUUUCCUGUGCGACCCACUCACUCAGCUUUUCUGUGUUUAGAAUUAGUUAAUUAAAGUACUACUUGUGUACCUUGAUUUUUUAUAAAGUGAAGAAUGAGUGGGGCUGAGGAUGUAUAUAGUUCAGUGGGAGAGAGCUUGCCUAACAUGCAUGCCUGAGGCCCUGGGUUCAGUGAAGCUGAGUGAGCUCAGGAUGUAGCUCAGUGGUCAAGUGCACACUUAGCAUGUGUAAGGCACUUGGUUCUGUAUGAGAGGAAGGGGAGGGAGGGAGACAGACUGAUAAAAUGUUUUAGGUAUGUAAUCAAUCCAUCUGCAAAUGCUGACAGUUUGCUCCUUCCUCUUCUGUCGUUUAUUCAUUUUGCCUAUUGGCCUCUUCCUCCAGAAGAGGGUGAAGUGAACACACUCAGUAGCAGGGCUCCCAGCUUGUCAUGGUUUAAAGGUGGAAUUCCCUGCCAUAAGUACAUGUAUUUGAACCAUGUGUUGUCUGGGCAGGCUGUGUAAUCUUAAGAAGUGGAGCCUGGCUAAAGGAGGUAGGCCACUAAGGAAUAACCCUUGCAGUGAUACCAGAGAUUUGGAUCUGCUGUGAGUGAGCUCUGUGCUUUCCAGUCUAUAACAUGCUAAGUUAUACCACAAGCUCCCACUGCCAUAGCCACAGAGAGAACCCUGUCUUCAUGCCCUUCCCAUCAUGGUGGACUAUUGACCUCUUACACCAUGAGCCAAAAUAAACCCUUUCUCCUCGAUGUUGCUAUCUCUGUGUUCUCUUGUGUUAGAAAAGUAACACAGAGAAGUGGUAUCAAGAAAUGGAAUCUGUGUUGUCAUAAAUUUGACUUUAAGAUCUCUGUGGGCUUGUAGAAAGAAUAUAUAAAAGUUUAGAGCAACAAGGUAGAGAUGCCCUAGAAUUAUGUCAGCAGAGCUUAAAAGCUUUUCUGGAAGGAGUGUAAAAAGAUCAGAACCCCAAUAGAAAUGCAGACAGUAGAGUGAUCUCCUGAGGUUGAAGGACUCUACUGGGAAUUGGCAUACAGGCUACAGUCUGCAAUAUCUGUCUGUGUCCUGCUACCCUGAGUGAAGCUGAAUUAUGUCAUGGACUAGUUUAUUUGGUGGAGAAAAUUUUAAGACAGUAUAAUAUACAGAUUGUAUCAUGGUUACAGCUCACUACUUUUCCAUAUUUACACAGAAGUAGAGAAAACAUUAAGAACAUGUGUAGUUUUGGAGGGAGGUGUGAGCAGUUGAAACUGGAUGAAGUGGCUUGAACGAAGCUAUGUGGUUAAAAUGAUUAGUAUUGUUAAAAGGUGUAUCUUACAAUCUAGAGCCAUUGAGACAGAUGGCUUAGUGGGUAAAGGCAUCUGCAGCCAAAUCUGAUCCCUAGGACCCAUGAGGUAGAAGGAGAACAGACUCUUCCAAGCUGUCCUCAGAUCUCUACCUACACAACUGUAAUACCAUUUAAAUGUAUUCUGUUGAGACAACAGAAUUGGUAACCUGAGAGCAAGACUUCACCCAGUGAGGUCUCCAGGGCAUAAACAUACAAAUUCAUUUGAAAGGAGAGGGCUUGAAUAGAGCACAAGAUUCAAGGCUCUAGUAAAGACUCAAAGGGACGUCCUAGGACAAUGUCCAGGUCCAGCUCUGCAGCAGAUUUGAAGCAUGUACAAGGUUACAGAUUAAUCAUGCAUUUCCAUCUCU
rnacentral:sRNA from 1 species